GACGAGCAGCACGACGUCUUCUGGUUGACAGGUUGCCCGCGGAUCUGCACGGUCGGUGGCCUUGCAUUUGAAGCGGCCGGUUGGCUAGCCAUCCUGAGAAAAAUGACAGGUGGGAUGUUCGUUACUAAAAUCUACCCAGAUAUGAGGUUGUACCUGUCCUUGAUGGAUGCGGCCAUAGCCAUGAAGGCCUGCUCCACAUUAGUGGCGUUCUUGGCACUUGUCUCCAUGAAGGGGAUGCCCAUCUCAUCAGCAAACGCCUGCGGGAUAUUUUAA
rnacentral:lncRNA from 1 species